AGUCGAGCGGAGAUGAGGUGCUUGCACCUUAUCUUAGCGGCGGACGGGUGAGUAAUGCUUAGGAAUCUGCCUAUUAGUGGGGGACAACAUUCCGAAAGGAAUGCCAAUACCGCAUACGUCCUACGGGAGAAAGCAGGGGAUCUUCGGACCUUGCGCUAAUAGAUGAGCCUAAGUCGGAUUAGCUAGUUGGUGGGGUAAAGGCCUACCAAGGCGACGAUCUGUAGCGGGUCUGAGAGGAUGAUCCGCCACACUGGGACUGAGACACGGCCCAGACUCCUACGGGAGGCAGCAGUGGGGAAUAUUGGACAAUGGGGGGAACCCUGAUCCAGCCAUGCCGCGUGUGUGAAGAAGGCCUUAUGGUUGUAAAGCACUUUAAGCGAGGAGGAGGCUACUGAGACUAAUACUCUUGGAUAGUGGACGUUACUCGCAGAAUAAGCACCGGCUAACUCUGUGCCAGCAGCCGCGGUAAUACAGAGGGUGCGAGCGUUAAUCGGAUUUACUGGGCGUAAAGCGUGCGUAGGCGGCUUUUUAAGUCGGAUGUGAAAUCCCCGAGCUUAACUUGGGAAUUGCAUUCGAUACUGGGAAGCUAGAGUAUGGGAGAGGAUGGUAGAAUUCCAGGUGUAGCGGUGAAAUGCGUAGAGAUCUGGAGGAAUACCGAUGGCGAAAGCAGCCAUCUGGCCUAAUACUGACGCUGAGGUACGAAAGCAUGGGGAGCAAACAGGAUUAGAUACCCUGGUAGUCCAUGCCGUAAACGAUGUCUACUAGCCGUUGGGGCCUUUGAGCUUUAGUGGCCGCAGCUAACGCGAUAAGUAGACCGCCUGGGGAGUACGGUCGCAAGACUAAAACUCAAAUGAAGUGACGGGGGCCCGCC
rnacentral:rRNA from 1 species